CAGCAGCCGCGGGAAUACAGAGGGUGCGAGCGUUAAUCGGAUUUACUGGGCGUAAAGCGUGCGUAGGCGGCUAAUUGAGUCGGAUGUGAAAUCCCCGAGCUUAACUUGGGAAUUGCAUUCGAUACUGGUUAGCUAGAGUGUGGGAGAGAAUGGUAGAAUUCCAGGUGUAGCGGUGAAAUGCGUAGAGAUCUGGAGGAAUACCGAUGGCGAAGGCAGCCAUCUGGCCUAACACUGACGCUGAGGUACGAAAGCAUGAGGAGCAAACAGGAUUAGAUACCCCGGUAGUCCCUGUCUCUUAUAC
rnacentral:rRNA from 1 species